GAUGAACGCUGGCGGCGUGCCUAAUACAUGCAAGUCGAGCGAACAGACGAGGAGCUUGCUCCUCUGACGUUAGCGGCGGACGGGUGAGUAACACGUGGAUAACCUACCUAUAAGACUGGGAUAACUUCGGGAAACCGGAGCUAAUACCGGAUAAUAUAUUGAACCGCAUGGUUCAAUAGUGAAAGACGGUUUUGCUGUCACUUAUAGAUGGAUCCGCGCCGCAUUAGCUAGUUGGUAAGGUAACGGCUUACCAAGGCGACGAUGCGUAGCCGACCUGAGAGGGUGCUCCGCCACGGGAGAACAGAGACGGGCUAGAGACCUCCGGGGGGGAGAAGAGUGGAAAAUCCCGCGAUGGGGGCGAACGUGUGACAGAGCCACGGCGCGUGAGAGAAGAAGGUCCUCGGCGUGUAAAACUCUGUUAAGGGAAGAACACAAGUGUGUAAGUAUAUACGCGUGUUGACGGUAUAUAAAAAGAAAGCGCCGCCGAUAUACGCG
rnacentral:rRNA from 1 species